GCCCCCCCCCCCCCCUCCACACACACACACACACACAAACAAAGAGGCGUUAGGCUGAGACGCUGAAAGUCCGGAUUUAAAGUGCAGAAAAUUAAGCCAUUGAAUCUGCCUGUCCAUGACGUACAAAGACACACUAUGAGCCAGUAUGAUCCGACCAGACCUUACAUCAGCAUUGAGGAGUUGUCGGAGAAGAAAGAGGCUGAUUGAAGCGGGACAGAUGACAUGGAUCCAUCCUUCCACAGCCAGGAGCGCACCGACCUGUGUCCCACACUUCAUAUAAGACUGGAAGCUACACUGAUCUCACAGCUACACACCACAGACGUCUACACACUGGAGAAGAGUCCCACAAAGAAGUCAUGACCCAGAGGCUGCAGAGAAACAUUUCAAGCCUCAUCUGAGUUUUUGUACAAUAUUUUUGCUGUAUGUAAAUAAAGCUUUCACUCCACA